rnacentral:rRNA from 1 species
CCUACGGGCGGCUGCAGUAGGGAAUAUUGCUCAAUGGGGGAAACCCUGAAGCAGCAACGCCGCGUGGAGGAAGAAGGUUUUCGGAUUGUAAACCUCUGUCGUCUGUGAAGAUAAUGACGGUAGCUAACGAAGAAGCACCGGCUAACUCCGUGCCAGCAGCCGCGGUAAUACGGAGGGUGCAAGCGUUAUCCGGAUUUACUGGGUGUAAAGGGUGCGUAGGCGGCAUAGCAAGUCAGAUGUGAAAUCCAUGGGCUUAACCAGUGAACUGCUUUUGAAACUGUAGUUCUUGAGUGAGGUAGAGGUAGGUGGAAUUCUUGGUGUAGGGGUGAAAUGCGUAGAGAUCGGGAGGAAUACUAGUGGCGAAGGCGACCUGCUGGGACAUAACUGACGCUGAAGCGCGAAAGCGUGGGUAGCAAACAGGAUUAGAUACCCGUGUAGUC